UACGAGGGGGGCGAGCGUUGUUCGGAAUUAUUGGGCGUAAAGGGUGCGUAGGCGGUUCCGCAAGUCCUGUGUGAAAUCUUCGGGCUCAACUCGAAGUCUGCACGGGAAACUGCGGGGCUUGAGUGUGGGAGAGGUGAGUGGAAUUCCCGGUGUAGCGGUGAAAUGCGUAGAUAUUCGCAAGAACACCAGUGGCGAAGGCGGCUCACUGGCCCGAUACUGACGCUGAGGCACGAAAGCGUGGGGAGCAAACAGG
rnacentral:rRNA from 1 species